GCGCCAAGUCAAGCGGUAGAUGCAGUGCGGCUGCUGCCGUCUUUUUAAUCAGUGUGCAUAACUCCGAAGGCAGGGGUCGGACGUUCGAAUCGUCUCGGGCGCGCCA
rnacentral:tRNA from 1 species